GUAGCAGUGAAAUGCGUAGAGAUGUGGAGGAAUACCGAUGGCGAAGGCAGCCUCCUGGGAUAACACUGACGCUCAUGCACGAAAGCGUGGGGAGCAAACAGGAUUAGAUACCCUGGUAGUCCACGCCCUAAACGAUGUCAACUAGUUGUUGGGGAUUCAUUUCC
rnacentral:rRNA from 1 species